AGAUGGUGAAACGAGACUACGACGGUUAGGGAGGCGGAUCCCGGAACCAACAGACGCUGGAGUAGGCUGGCAUGGCUAAGAUGUGGGAAUUUGACGCCUUCAUUGACGAAGGAGACGAAGACUUCGCUUCGUACGUGGAAAGAUUUGGGCACUAUUGCAAGGUAGCCAACGUGCAAGACGAAGAACUUAAGAAGUCAGCCUUCAUCACUGCCAUAGGGAAGAAAGCGUACAAGACGCUCAAAGAUUUGCUUCUACCGUCAAAGCCGGAAGAGAAGUCAUUCAAAGAUUUGGUAAAGGUACUGAGCGAACACUACGGGCCUACAAGCCAAGUCAUUGCGGAGCGCUUCAAAUUUAACCGGCGCUACCAAGGGGAAGGGGAGUCCGUCGCAGUUUUUGCAGUCGCGCUGAAGCACAUGGCUGCGAAAUGCGAGUUCGGCCAGUUUCUCGACGACGCGCUGCGGGACCGGUUCGUCGCGGGACUGCGGAACCCAGCCAUCCAGACAGGAUUACUAAAGAAAAAGGAGCUGACGUUCGAGACGGCGUGUGAGUUCGCCAAGAGCGUCGAAUUGGCCGAGCGAGAGUCUAGGGGCUUCCGACCAGUUGCUGGAACAGACGCCGAAGUCCAUGCGAUCAAAAAGACAAGCAGGAAGCCUGUUUCGGGGAGUGAAACGAGAACAGCCAAGAACAAAUGUUAUCGGUGCGGCGAAGAACAUGACGCAAAUUCGUGUCGCUAUCGAAAGACAAGAUGUUAUCACUGCAAGCGCACGGGGCAUCUGUCUCGCGUGUGCAGAUCUAGGCAGACAACGGCCGACGCGGUUCAUAACGUGGACGACGAACAGCCUGAUAGCGAGCUGUUGUUAUACAGCGUGUAUCACGUCGGGACAACGAAGCGACCGUAUGAAGUGGAAGUGCGGCUUGAAGGUAUGACUGUGAAAAUGCAAGUUGAUACAGGCGCAGCUGUUUCGCUCCUGUCAGAAAGCCUGUUCAAGCUGCUAAAACAACCGCCGUCGCUUGCGCAGUGCGCACUGAAGCUCAAAACGUACGGCGGAACGCCGCUUGAAGUCAUAGGCCAGGGCCAAGUCGCUGUGGAAUACAACGGACAACGGAAGGUUCUGCAAAUCAUCGUGGUACCCGGAGACAAGCCAGCGUUGCUUGGGCGCGACUGGAUUGAGAGCCUCGGGGUCGACUUGAACAGCAUUCACGAGGUCCACACCGAGCUAGCUCCGGACAGCCUCGUUAGAAGGUAUGCAAGCGUUUUUUCACCGGGGUUAGGCCUGAUAAAAGGCUUUCAAGCAAAGCUUGUGCUUAAGGAAGGCAGCUUACCGGUAUUUUGCAAGGCACGACCAGUACCGUAUGCCAUUCGUGAGCCAGUUAGAGAAGAACUAAAGGACCUGCUAGCGGACGGCGUCCUUGUGGCAGUCACGCGAAGCGACUGGGCCACACCGAUAGUAGCCGUACAGAAGCCAGGCAACAAAGUGCGACUUUGCGGAGAUUAUAAAGUGACUGUAAACCCCUGCAUCAAGAGUGAUCAUUACCCCUUGCCCACGGUCGAGGACUUGUUCACUGUUUUGGCUGACAGGUUGACGGGAAGGUGUUUACCGUUCUUGAUCUCUCCGCAGCGUAUCAGCAAAUUGAGUUGCACCCGGACUCGCGUCCCUUGUUGACCAUUAAUACUCACAUGGGAUUGUACCAGUAUGUCCGAAUGCCAUACGGAAUUUCGAGCGCACCUGCAGUGUUCCAAGCCAUUAUGGACGAGCUUCUGAAGGGACUACCUGGGGUGGUCUGCUACCUCGACGAUGUUCUCAUCAUGGGAGCGACCUACGCCGAAUGCCGGGUCCGAGUGGAGGCAGUUCUGCAGCGGUUCAUGGAACACGGCGUAAAAGUAAGGCAAGAAAAAUGCAAGUUUUUCAUGAAGUCUGUAAAAUAUCUGGGCCACAUCAUAGAUGAGCAAGGCGUCCACCCAUGCCCUAAAAAGGUACAGGCCAUAAAGGAAGCACCUUCACCACGAAACGUGAGUGAGCUAAAGGCUUACUUGGGAAUGUUAACUUUUUAUUCAAAGUUCAUGCCAAACAUGUCCUCGAAGUUGAAGCCCUUGUAUGAGUUGCUCCAGAAAGAUAAAAAAUGGAAAUGGUCUGCGCAAGCAGAAUUGGCAUUCGAAGAAAGCAAGAAAUUGCUUACACAGGACAGUGUGCUAACUUUCUACGACCCAAGGAAGCCACUAGGACUAGUGUGCGAUGCGUCCCCUUAUGGGGUAGGAGCAGUUUUAUUUCAUGUCAUCAACGGCGAAGAAAAGCCAAUUGCGUAUGCGUCACGCACGCUGAGUAAAGCCGAAAGCGGUUACGCCCACAUCGAAAAAGAAGCGCUAGCUGUUGUAUUCGGAGUAAAACGGUUCCAUAAGUUUUUGUAUGGGCGAGAGUUUACAAUUUAUUCCGAUCAUCUUCCCCUAGCAGGGCUUCUUGGUCAAACAAAACCAAUUCCUCAAAUGGCUGCUGCGAGAAUGCAACGAUGGAUGCUAAUGCUGCUUGCUUAUCGUUACAAGUGGGUCUACAGAAAAGGAGAGCAAGUGGCAAACGCUGACGCGUUAUCAAGAUUACCCCUUCGAAAUGAAGGAGACAAAAGUGACUAUGUGCAUUUCUUUUCGGCAGUGCAAGCAGCACCGUUAUCAGCAGACAAGAUACGGGAAGAAACGCAAAGGGAUGCGGUCUUGUCAAAGAACGAACGCUGUGCAGCAUACGAGGACACCGCCGUACCACCCAGCCUCAAAUGGAGCAGCGGAAAGACUUGUCCAGACAGUCAAA